rnacentral:rRNA from 1 species
AUUGAACGCUGGCGGCAGGCCUAACACAUGCAAGUCGAGCGGAGCGGCGGACGGGUGAGUAAUGACUAGGAAGCUGCCUGGUAGUGGGGGAUAACGUCCGGAAAGGGGCGCUAAUACCGCAUACUAACAGAUGAGCCUAGGGCGGAUUAGCUAGUUGGUGGGGUAAAGGCCUACCAAGGCGACGAUCCGUCACGGGUCUGAGAGGAUGAUCAGUCAACCUGGAACUGAGACACGGUCCAGACUCCUCCGGGAGGCAGCAGUGGGGAAUAUUGGACAAGGGGGGAAAGCCUGAUCCAGACAUGCCGCUUGGGUGAAGAAGGUCUUCGGAUUGUAAAGCACUUUAAGUUGGGAGGCGGUACCUACAGAAUAAGCACCGGCUAACUUCGUGCCAGCCGCCGCGGUAAUUC